rnacentral:rRNA from 1 species
AUGCCAAGCUCCCUCUUUCAGCUCCUCAACGCGUCGUCGGUGAGCGCCAGUGUGGGGGCGGAGCAUCAGAAGCCCAGGGGCACCACGGUGGGCGUUCGCACCCGCUUCAGAUACCACACAUACCUCAUGGGCACAACGGAGGUGCACGCCGACCCCAGUGUCGCGCUCUUCUUCCUGAAGAAGGACCUGCAGAUGCGCACCGGCCAAAAAAAGUUGAUGAAGGUCGAUUUCAUGGCCACCCGGGGGGCAGGAGACAAGUUUUUGCUGCGAAGCGAGGCCGACGCCAUCCCAUUCACCACCGAGAAGCUCCCACAAAUCCUUAGCCGCUUCUCCGUGAAGCCGGGCUCCCUUGAGUCGUCGGAGAUGGCGCAGACGCUUCAAGACUGCGAAGCGCGGGCGGCCCAAGGUGAGCAGAUGUGGUGCGCCACGUCUCUGGAGUCCAUGAUCGACUUCGCCAUGUCAAGCCUCGGGAGCAACGAGCUGAGGGCCAUGUCCACCGCCGUUGGCAAGGAGGGAACACCGAUGCAGGAGUACACAUUGACCAGCGUGACGCACCCCGCCGCUGACCAGCUCGUGGUCUGCCACAUGGAGCCGUACGCAUACGCCGUGUUCGCAUGCCACCUGACACGGGCGACGAGGGCGUACAUAGUGUCGAUGGCCGGUGAGGAUGGCACGGACGUCGAGGCCGUCGCGCUGUGCCACGCGGACACGGCCGGCUGGAACCCAACGCACGUCGCCUUCCAGGUGCUCAAGGUGAAGCCCGGCACUGUGCCGGUCUGCCACCUGGAAUCACGCUGGCAACCAGCAAAGUCAUACAAGACCGAAAGCUAUGCCAUGGUGGAGUAA